rnacentral:rRNA from 1 species
UCCCAGACUCCUACGGGAGGCAGCAGUGGGGAAUAUUGCACAAUGGGGGAAACCCUGAUGCAGCAAUGCCGCGUGGGUGAAGAAGUACUCCGGUAUGUAAAGCCCUAUCAGCAGGGAAGAAAAUGACGGUACCUGACUAAGAAGCCCCGGCUAACUACGUGCCAGCAGCCGCGGUAAUACGUAGGGGGCGAGCGUUAUCCGGAUUUACUGGGUGUAAAGGGAGCGCAGGCGGCGUGGCAAGUCAGAUGUGAAAACCCGGGGCCCAACCCCGGGGCUGCAUUUGAAACUGCCAUGCUGGAGUGCCGGAGAGGUAAGUGGAAUUCCUAGUGUAGCGGUGAAAUGCGUAGAUAUUAGGAGGAACACCAGUGGCGAAGGCGGCUUACUGGACUGUAACUGACGUUGAGGCUCGAAAGCGUGGGGAGCAAACAGGAUUAGAUACCCCCGUAUU